rnacentral:rRNA from 1 species
CCUGCCUGAAUGACCGGGACAACACCGGGAAACUGGUGCUAAUACCGGAUAAGCUCUUGAGUACACAAGUACAUAAGAGGAAAGGAUUUAACUUUCGCAUUCAGAUGGGUCCGCGUCCCAUUAGCUAGUUGGUGGUGUAAAGGGCCACCAAGGCGACGAUGGGUAGCCGGCCUGAGAGGGUGGGCGGCCACACUGGAACUGAGACACGGUCCAGACUCCUACGGGAGGCAGCAGUGGGGAAUCUUCCGCAAUGGGCGCAAGCCUGACGGAGCAACGCCGCGUGAAUGAAGAAGGCCUUCGGGUUGUAAAAUUCUGUCUUUGGGGAAGAAAAAAAUGACGGUACCCAAGGAGGAAGCCCCGGCUAACUACGUGCCAGCAGCCGCGGUAAAACGUAGGGGGCAAGCGUUGUCCGGAAUUACUGGGCGUAAAGGGCGUGUAGGCGGUCACUUAAGUCAGGGGUGAAAACUGUGGGCUCAACCCACAGCCUGCCUUUGAAACUGGGUGGCUUGAGGACAGGAGAGGGGAGUGGAAUUCCCAGUGUAGCGGUGAAAUGCGUAGAUAUUGGGAGGAACACCAGUGGCGAAGGCGGCUCUCUGGCCUGUUUCUGACGCUGAGACGCGAAAGCGUGGGUAGCGAACGGGAUUAGAUACCCCGGUAGUCCACGCCGUAAACGAUGGGUGCUA